UUCCCGUACGGUCACUGAAGUUAAGCAAUGUCGAGCCUGGUCAGUACCUAGAUGAGAGACCGCUUGCGAAUACCAGAUGCUGUAA